rfam:Heligmosomoides polygyrus genome assembly, scaffold: HPBE_scaffold0012586
GCGCUGGUGGUGUAAGGCGUAGCGUCGCUACCCGGAAAGCAGAAGGUGCGGGUUUGAGUCCCGCCUUGCGCA